GGAAUAAGGAGAGGGCAAGUCUGGUGUCAGCCGCCGCGGUAAUACCAGCUCUCCGAGUGGUGUGGACGUUUAUUGGGCCUAAAGCAUCCGUAGCUGGCUGAACAAGUCCCCUGUUAAACCCACCGAUUUAAUCGAUGGUCUGCGGGGGAUACUGCUCGGCUAGGGGACGAGAGAGGCAGACGGUAUUCCCGGGGUAGGGGUGAAAUCCUAUAAUCCCGAGAAGACCACCAGUGGCGAAGGCUGUCUGCUAGAACGCGCCCGACGGUGAGGGAUGAAAGCUGGGGGAGCGAACCGGAUUAGAUACCCGGGUAGUCCCAGCUGUAAACGAUGCAGACUAGGUGUUUGGACGGCCACGUGCCGUUCUAGUGCCGCAGGGAAGCUGUUAAGUCUGCCGCCUGGGGAGUACGAUCGCAAGAUUGAAACUUAAAGGAAUUGGCGGGGGAGCACCACAAGGGGUGAAGCUUGCGGUUUAAUUGGAGUCAACACCGGAAAUCUCACCGGGAGCGACAGCAGUGUGAAGGCCAGAUUAAAGGUCUUGCCAGACGAGCUGAGAGGAAGUGCAUGGCC
rnacentral:rRNA from 1 species